UUUGUGGUCCAGAAGCUUCUCAGACCGCUGAUCUGUUGCUGCAGGACCGAGCCUCACGAUGAAGCUGGCUGCUGCCUUCCUGGUGCUGCUGGUGCUGGUUAUGAUGCCUGAGCCCACUGAGGGCUUCUUCCACCUCAUCGCCCACCUGAUCCACCACAUCAUAGGCAGAACCGCAGACGACCAGCUGGUGGAGGUGGACAAACGCUCGCUGGACUAUCGUCCGGGACACCCCCCUUUCAACUGAGGAGCAGGAGGGGGGCCCCACUGCCCCGACUCUUCAGCUGAUGAUUCAUCACCAUGAAAUAAAAUCUGAGCAAGACAACAA